rnacentral:rRNA from 1 species
UACGAAGGGGGCGAGCGUUGUUCGGAUUUACUGGGCGUAAAGGGCGCGCAGGCGGCGCAUUUUGUCAGGCGUGAAAGCCCCGGGCUUAACCUGGGAACUGCGUUUGAUACGGAUGGGCUAGAGUUCGGGAGAGGAGAGUGGAAUUCCCAGUGUAGAGGUGAAAUUCGUAGAUAUUCGGAAGAACACCAGUGGCGAAGGCGGCUCACUGGACCGGUAUUGACGCUGAGGUGCGAAAGCGUGGGGAGCAAACAGG